rnacentral:lncRNA from 1 species
CCCUUGGACGUAUGUGUUGCUUACAGACAAUUAUGAAAACAAUUAUUCAUAGAAAACACAUUCUGAUUUUAAGACUGACUUCUGUAAAACGUGUUUGAAAGACCUUGCAAAUGCAGAUUUGAAGUUUGUAUCAGGCUACUGCAUAGUGCAGCUCAUGGGAUCAUGUGAUUUGUAGUUUCUACUUCCCAUUACUAGAUGGCCUGUCAGAGGAUACGUCCAGACUACACGCCGUAUCGGCGGGUUAAAAUCGAUUGCUCGGGGAUCGAUAUAUUGCGUCUAAUCUAGACGCGAUAUAUCGAUCCCCGAGCACGCUUAUAUCGAUUCCGGAACUCCAUCAACCCCAACAGAGUUCCGGAAUCGACACGGAGAUCCGCAGACAUCGAUCCGCGCCGUAUGGACGGGUGAGUAAUCCGAUCUUAGAUAUUCGACUUCAGCUACAUUAUUCAAGUAGCUGAAGUUGCGUAUCUAAGAUCGAUUCCCCCCACCCCCCCCCCCAGUGUGGAUGAGCCCUCAUUCAGAUUCUUUAGUUCUGCAUUCAACAGACAGAUUGACAUCACUUCACAUUAUUGCUGGUUCCCCUACAGUGAGUGGAGUAUGGCUGCCCUCAGGAAGGGAGGGUAAUCUCAGUUACAGCAGGAGGGCUUUAGUGAAGCUGUCAGAACAUGUAAGUCUUUCUGGGUGCUACUGAUAUUUGGACAGGAGACACAUUGCUUGUUUUUUGGCUUUUCGCAUGAAAUUAGUGGUUAAGAUUUCAGAAAGAAGGCCCUAGGGACCAUCCUACUAGGUCUCUUUGCAAUAAUGUAGGACUUUAAAGAUAAGGAGACACCACGCAGGGGAGCACUGUGUAUAGCUGAAGGGAGGAAAUCAGACUUAUGCCUCAACUGAGAGCUCCUGCAAAACAUCCCCAUGCUGUGAUUUGCCCUAAAUGUACAGUCAUCUAUCUCUUCAUCAUGACAACUGUGACAGGUUGGACCCCUUGGGAAGCCACCUGAUGUCUGAGAUGCCGCUAAGUCUACCUGUUGUGCCAGCAUGGGCCCCCUUUAACCUGUCUUGCUGAGCCAGGCUCUUAAAGCCUCCUCUAACACACACACUCAGGCAGGGCCACACCCAGCUGCAGAUCAGCUCUGGGAAGACUCAGCUUCAGGGACUUGCUGUAAUGUCAUUUGUAGGUGUUUUUGCAAAGUUCUGGGUUUCUGUUCCCAGGUGUCAAAGUUAGAAUCAAGACUCACAAUUUGUCAGACCACUCUGUUUAUUAGCGCAGCGCUUCGCCAAUAACA